ensembl:lncRNA
CUUCUUUAGCUCAACUUCUAACCUCCUCUUCCCAGAAGGUAUUAUUUGCAUUGGUACAGUUGUGUUGCACUGAACCCUUAUCUGGGCAGCACCGAUGUGAUAACCAUUCAGCUUCUCCUCAAACUUCUGGGGCCUGCAUUAUUUAAUUGAUAACUUACCAAUGGAAGAAAAAUUUUGGAGCGUUUACACUACUUUGAAGUACAAACCAACUUUUCUAGGAACUGCCACUGCCUCUUUGUAGAGGACAACAAAGGCUUGGGCAGACAUGACUAAACUGUAUUUAAUCCACAAAUUCACAGUCCAGAGUCAUUGAAGUAAAUGCUUUUUUGAAGUGGUACUUACGGCCUGACAGGGUUGCUGUGGUAGAAAUGCUGAGUCAUGGCCUGAACCAGUGAUUGAGCACCUGGUGGGAAGGCAGGGCCUUCCCAGGGGAGCUCAGGUGCAAGCAAUACACCUGAGUGACUGGAAGGGGUGGAGCCAGGAUCCACCCCUUCCCAGACCUAUUUUGAGGAGUGGCAGUGGAGGUAACAGUAUCUCUCUGGAGAUCUCUGCCUGCCUGAGGCCUUCUAAAGCUUGCCAGGGGGAUGAAAUACAGACGUUAUACAUGACAUCAUAUAUUGUAUGCUGCAAGGAAAUGUGGAGAAUGAUGAGUAAUGAAGAACCACUGCCCAGAGUCA